GAUGAACGCUGGCGGCGUGCCUAAUACAUGCAAGUCGAGCGAACAGACGAGGAGCUUGCUCCUUUGACGUUAGCGGCGGACGGGUGAGUAACACGUGGAUAACCUACCUAUAAGACUGGGAUAACUUCGGGAAACCGGAGCUAAUACCGGAUAACAUGUUGAACCGCAUGGUUCAACAGUGAAAGACGGUCUUGCCGUCGCUUAUAGAUGGAUCCGCGCCGCAUUAGCUAGUUGGUAAGGUAGCGGCUUACCAAGGCAACGAUGCGUAGCCGACAGGAGAGGGGGAACGGACACAGUGGGACUGAGAGACGGACCAGACUGCGACGGGAGGCAGCAGUGGGGAAUAUGGCACAAUGGGCGGAAGCAGGAUGAAGAAACGCUGGGUGCGGGAUGACGGCCUUCGGGUUGUAAAAAGCUUUAGCCUGUGACGAAGCGUGAGUGACGGUAAUGGGUAAAGAAGCACCGGCUAACUACGUG
rnacentral:rRNA from 1 species